AUUGAACGCUGGCGGCAGGCCUAACACAUGCAAGUCGAGCGGGGUUUUCGGACCUAGCGGCGGACGGGUGAGUAAUGCGUAGGAAGCUGCCCGAUGGAGGGGGAUACCAGUUGGAAACGACUGUUAAUACCGCAUAAUGUCUACGGACCAAAGUGUGGGACCUUCGGGCCACAUGCUAUCGGAUGCGCCUACGUGGGAUU
rnacentral:rRNA from 1 species